ACGGGUCAACCCAACCCCUCGCUCUCCCUCCCUGUCUCGCCCAAUGGAGAGAGAGAGCUAGAGCGAGAGCUCUCCUCCUCCCUUCGAGAUCACGGCCGUCACCUCCCUUCUGAGGAGCUUGCCACCUCCCUCCUCCUCUCGCCCACGGCCUCCCCCACGCCCUCCUCCUCUCGCCCCUCCCCUUCCCUCACUAGAAGGGAGAGAAGAACUAGAGGGAGGGAGAUCCAUCCUGAUCCAUUCGGGGCUAGGGUUCGGGCGGGGCGUCGCCGGUGGCCUCUCUGCCCUUCUUCGACCGGAUCCGCCACCCCCACCUCACCUCCAUCUCUCAGCCCACCUCGCACGAGCGCCCGGAUGGUGGUGCGCGAGCCUCACUAGGAGGGAUAUCCAUCUGGAUCGGAACUAGGUGGUGCAUGAGAGGCCGGAGCGCGCCGCCCACCUCACGCACACGGCGCUCGACGCGCUCGCCACCAUCUGCAACCCGCCGGUCAAUGCUCUGCACCCCAUCAUCAUCUAGGGGCUCAACUAGAAGAACGCCUUCGGCCUUCGGCCGCGAUGACAUCAUUGCCGCCGUGCUCACCGAUGUUGGCGUUUCAUGUUUCUUCGUGAGCAUCAGGACAAAGAAAUCGGAAGAAGCAUAGUUCUCGGAGUAAUGAAGCCCUUUAAGUUGAUCCUAUUUGUAUCUAUGUAAUAUGAUUGUAAACUUGUAGAGAAGAUUGCUUCUUGUUGUUAUCUGAUUGUAAACUUCAUGCUGAUCACAUUUGUAUAUGCGUUAUAUGAUGUAGCAGAUUAUAUUGCUUCUUGUUGUAAUUUGAA